UACGGAGGGAGCUAGCGUUGUUCGGAAUUACUGGGCGUAAAGGCGCGCGUAGGCGGCUUUGGUAAGUUAGAGGUGAAAAGCCCGGGGCUCAACUCCGGAACUGCCUUUAAGAACUGCAUCGCUUGAAUCCGGGAGAGGAGAGGUGGAAGUUCCCGGUGUAGCGGUGAAAUGCGCAGAUAUCGGGAAAGAACACCUAUGGCGAAGGCAGCUCUCUGGGGAACGGUACUGACGCUGAGAGACG
rnacentral:rRNA from 1 species